GAUAUAAAUGAUGAAGAGCUGUUAUCAAUUUUAUUUGUAGCAAAGGAAUUUGAGAAAAUAGUAAAAAAUAAAGAAGAUUCGAGAUACUUACAAGAUAAAGUAUUUUGUAGUAUAUUUUUAGAACCUAGUACAAGAACGAGGUGUUCAUUUGAUGCUGCAAUUUUAAGAUUGGGUUCAAAAGUGAUCAACAUUACUGAUAUGAAUGUUACGUCUUUUUACAAAGGGGAAACGAUUCAGGACGCGUUUACAAUUUUAUCAAAAUAUGUCGAUGGUAUUAUAUAUAGAGACCCGUCAAAAACCAAUAUUGACGUAGCUGUACAAGUUUCUAACAAACCAAUAAUAAACGCGGGGAACGGGACUGGUGAACAUCCUACACAGUCACUUUUAGACUUUUACACUAUAUAUAAUUAUUUUUCAUAUAUUUUAGAAAAAAAACAAAAAUGAAGAAAUUAAAAUCGCAUUUGUUGGUGAUUUAAAGAAUGGAAGAACAGUUCAUUCGUUGAGUAAACUUCUUAGUAGAUUUAAUGUUAGUUUUAAUUUUAUAUCAUCUACCUCUUUAAACAUUCCUGAACCUAUAAAAAAUAGCAUAAUUACAAAUUUGAAGAAAAAUGGUUUUAUCAUGAAAAUUCUAUAAAGAUUUAUGAUAAUUUAAAAGAAGGGUUAAAAGGUGUACAUAUUGUUUACAUGACAAGAAUACAAAAAGAAAGAUUUGAUGAUCCCAGCGAGUAUAAGAAAUACAAAGAUUCUUUUAUAUUGGAUAAUAAUGUUCUAAAUUAUACAGACAUAAACGCAAAGGUACGAACAUGUUUAUAUACAUAUAUCUAUAUGUAAACAUUUAUAUAGAAAGACAUAUAAAAUAUUUAUUAGCACCAUUCAAUGUAUAUACAAACAUUUUAUAUUACUUUUAAGUAUUUUUUUGUUGCAUAUAAACUCGAAGCAAGCCUUUCGCAAGUUUUUCAAUAUUUAAUUUUUAUUAAACAUUAAUUGUGUAGAUUUUUUUAUUUAUUUAUCUACCUAUAUGUUUAUUUAUUUUUUUAUUUAUUUAUUUUUUUUUUUUUUUUUAAUGCUAUUGCAGGUACUUCACCCUCUUCCAAGAGUAAACGAAAUAAAAGCUGAAGUUGAUGAGAAUCCCA
rnacentral:lncRNA from 1 species